rnacentral:rRNA from 1 species
UACGUAGGCAGCAAGCGUUGUUCGGAAUUACUGGGCGUAAAGAGUGUGUAGGCGGUGUUCUAAGUUUGUCGUGAAAUCUCCCGGCUUAACUGGGAGGGUGCGGCGAAAACUGGAAUGCUAGAGGAUGGGAGAGGUAAGCGGAAUUCCUGGUGUAGCGGUGAAAUGCGUAGAUAUCAGGAGGAACACCUGUGGUGUAGACAGCUUACUGGACCAUUUCUGACGCUGAGACACGGAAAGCGUGGGUAGCAAACAGG